AGCCGACCUGAGAGGGUGACCGGCCACAUUGGGACUGAGACACGGCCCAAACUCCUACGGGAGGCAGCAGUGGGGAAUAUUGCACAAUGGGGGAAACCCUGAUGCAGCGACGCCGCGUGAAGGAUGAAGUAUUUCGGUAUGUAAACUUCUAUCAGCAGGGAAGAAAAUGACGGUACCUGACUAAGAAGCCCCGGCUAACUACGUGCCAGCAGCCGCGGUAAU
rnacentral:rRNA from 1 species